UUCUGUAGGGUGAACCUGCGGAGGGAUAAGAACCAAGCAGACA
rnacentral:rRNA from 1 species